UUGAUAGAGGCGCGUCAUUUAUGAGUAGACGGCAGUAGAUUGCCAGAAUCGCUUGAUGGUCGUUGGAAAGGAAAUGAUGCCGAAGAAAAAACGUGGCAAGUUUUUUCUGGGGAUGCAUGUGAAUAACUGCAUAACUGUCAUCAUUGCUUUAUGAUGAAGAGCUAUCG
rnacentral:ncRNA from 1 species